GAUGAACGCUGGCGGCGUGCUUAACACAUGCAAGUCGAACGGUGAACGAGGGAGCUUGCUCCCUCCGGAUCAGUGGCGAACGGGUGAGUAACACGUGAGCAAUCUGCCCUGGACUCUGGGAUAAGCGUUGGAAACGACGUCUAAUACCGGAUACGAGGCGUGGGGGCAUCCCCAACGCCUGGAAAGAACUUCGGUCCAGGAUGAGCUCGCGGCCUAUCAGGUAGUUGGUGAGGUAAUGGCUCACCAAGCCUACGACGGGUAGCCGGCCUGAGAGGGUGACCGGCCACACUGGGACUGAGACACGGCCCAGACUCCUACGGGAGGCAGCAGUGGGGAAUAUUGCACAAUGGGAGAAAGCCUGAUGCAGCAACGCCGCGUGAGGGACGACGGCCUUCGGGUUGUAAACCUCUUUUAGCAGGGAAGAAGCGAAAGUGACGGUACCUGCAGAAAAAGCACCGGCUAACUACGUGCCAGCAGCCGCAGUAAGAC
rnacentral:rRNA from 1 species